AUUGAACGCUGGCGGCAGGCCUAACACAUGCAAGUCGAGCGAGCGGCGGACGGGUGAGUAAUGUGUGGGAAACUGCCAGAUGGCGGGGGAUACCUACUGGAAGCGGUAGCUAAUACCGCAUACCAUCAGAUGUGCGCAGAUGGGAGUAGCUAGUAGGUGGGGUAACGGCUCACCUAGGCGACGAUCCCUAGCUGGUCUGGGAGGAUGACCAGCCACACUGGAACUGAGACCCGGUCCAGACUCCUACGGGAGGCAGCAGUGGGGAAUAUUGCACAAUGGGCGAAAGCCUGAUGCAGCCAUGCCGCGUGUGUGAAGAAGGCCUUCGGGUUGUAAAGCACUUUAAGCGGGGAGGCGUUACCCGCAGAAGAAGCACCGGCUAACUCCGUGCCAGCAGCCGCGGUAAUAC
rnacentral:rRNA from 1 species